rnacentral:lncRNA from 1 species
CUGCCAGAAAACCAAUUAUUUAACUGGGAACAGGGAGGCGAUCAUGUUUUUUUUUGUCUCUGAAAAACGGAUUUUGAUUCUGAAGUGUGGGGAAAAAUUAUACUCUGGUCAGUAAAGGAAGAAAAAAGUAUUCUGAGAGAGGGUUAUAGCCAUAUUAGAAAAAAAUGAGGUUACUUUUAUAUCUGGUAGAAGUGUGUUUUAGGAAGCGGCAUGCCAAUAUUUUGUACAAAUUUCUUUUCUUUUUUUCAUUCCCUUGCUGACCAGAUUAUUUUUUUC